UUGGCCCGGGUCUUCCAGGAGUCGGGUUGCUUGGGAAUGCAGCCCAAAGCGGGUGGUAAACUCCAUUUAAGGCUAAAUACCGGCACGAGACCGAUAGUCAACAAGUACCGUAAGGGAAAGUUGAAAAGAACUUUGAAGAGAGAGUACAAGAGGGCGUGAAACCGUUAAGAGGUAAAUGGGUCAGGUCCGCGCAGUCCGCCCGGAGGAUUCAACCCGGUGGCGGAUCUUUCCCGCCCCCCGUUCCUCCCGACCCCUCCACCCGCCCUCCCU
rnacentral:lncRNA from 10 species